AUGGCCAGACAAGCAUUUAGGAAGUUCCUUCCUCUGUUUGACCAAGUGUUGGUCAAAAGGAGUACAACUGAAACUGUAACCAAAGGAGGCAUUAUGCUUCCAGAAAAGUCUCAAGGGAAAGUAUUGCAAGUCACAGUAGUGGCCGUGGGAUCGGGCUCUAAAGGAAAGGGUGGAGAGAUUCAGCCAGUUAGUGUGAAAGUGGGUGAUAAAGCUCUUCUCCCAGAAUAUGGAGGCACCAAAGUAGUUCUAGAUGACAAGGAUUAUUUCUUAUUUAGGGAUGGUGACAUUCUUGGAAAGUAUGUAGAGUGAAUACAUCACUAAAAUGGUAUCAUGUGAAGCUGCCC